CGACUCCGGCCAGGACUCGGUGCGCCUUUUUAGUUUGCGACUUGUUGCUGUUGAGUGUGCCAGCAUCUGUGCAUAUCUGCUGCACAGAGACAGACGGACACACACACACGCACACAUAAACACUCAUAGAACAGAUUAUACGUCAUCGGCCUACUGCCCUGCCCCCUCCGCUGCUUCUCCCGCCUUCUCUACCUUCCUGCUUGCCUCGGCUGGCCAACACUGCUUGCAAGAACUCCACCCUUCACACACACACACACACACCACACACACACACACACAGACAAACAUACAGUGACCACGAUGUCCGGUUCCACCCAGCGUGCCGAGCAGCAGCGGCGCAUUCAGCAACUCCACGAGCGGCUUGAGCUGUACAACAUCGCUGACAGCCACACGGACCCGACGGCCAACUCUGCUGGCGGCGUAGGUUUCGCCGGUGCUGGCGGGCCUCAGACCGGUAGUGGCGACAAAGCGCCGGCGACGAAGCCGUCCCGGGCUGCACCGAUGCUCAGCUCGCCCAAUCCCAACCCGACGCCGGCUCCCGCCUCCAACGCAUUCUUCUUUGCCUCUCCCCUUCCGCGGCGAGCGGCAGAUGCAGGCGCACCGUCAUCCACGUUUGGGCUGCAGCGAGACAACAGCAGCGGUAGCGGCGCUACAGCCGCGCCGUCAGCCACUGAAAUAGCUGAGGUGUCGCGGGCCUCGCCGGCACCACAGCAGCAGCCGCAGGCGCAGAUGCCAGCUCCGGUGCCUGCACCCCAGCUCGCCCGCAACCUCGCUCAGGAGUUCUUCGUGUCUGCUGCGAGCCCGACUCAUGCGUCGCCGACGAGAGCUGCUUUUCGCUCUUCGGCGAUGACGAGCGGGGCAGCCGCUUCCCCGGUUGCACCGGAGCGUCCUUCUGUCACCGCUGCCUACCCUGAGUCGGCAACCGAGGCAACAGCGGCCGCGACAGCCGCCAACGCCGGCUCCCCUCGUCUCGCCCCCAAUGCUUUCGACUAUUACGAGGACUCCAAGUCUGACGGGAGCGAGGGCGACGAGUACGAGGUGGAGGAGGUGGAGGAGUACAUGGAAGAUGAGGAGGACUGCGAUGAUGACGGGGAGGAUGCCGACGAGCACGCACGUGGAAAGGCGUCCCUGACGCUGGAGGACGUGCUGCGACGCCUCCACCGCGCCUGCAGCGGUUCCGUUGAUCAUGCGGCGGUAUCAUCCCCCCUAGAGCAGGCUAUGGCAGCCGCGCCCGCUUCAUCCCCGCUUGCGCGUGAUCCGUCACUGGCAUCUACAACAUCCGCCGCCGCUGCGGCGACGCGUGCUACGUUGACCGCUGCCGCCACCUGUCCCGUAGGUACUACCUAUCCCUUUCUCCAGCAAGCCGCAGAAGUUUAUCGUCAGCGCCAUCUUUACCAAGCCACUCAGGAACAGCAGCAGCAUCAUAGUCCAUUCAACACCGGCCACGCGUGGAGCACGGAUGAGGAGACGAGCGUGACCGACACGUCGACCUCCGAGCCGACGGAAGGGCUGGGUGACGCGUCUGAGAGCCGCUCCGCCUCCGGCUCUUCCUGUCCCUCGGCGGCUUCGAAAGGGCACCUGACUGCGGCUAACGCGACCGCAGCUGUACAAAACAGCGGCUUAUCGGCGGCGGCACUGCAGUCACUCGCAGACACAGCAAUCGCGACUCGCACCGCCUCGGAGGGGGCGAGCGCGGAGAAGUUGCUUCCUUCCUCUGCCCUGUGCUUCGAUCAGCUCGAGACUGCUUAUCGGCGCCUGCUCAUCCUUCAAGAAGGGGCCAAGUACGUAUCCGAGCUUGCGGGACCGGAGUGCUUCCCACGUCCGCUCCCGCGCCAAGAGGACGCCCGCGCACUAGCUGAGCAGCGCGACAUGGUAGUGAAGCGUGACACGGAGAUGCGGGCGGCACCGCCGGCGGGGACGUCGCUGGAGGAUUUGCGGCAGCGCGAGAGCGCCGCCAUCGAGAGGACACUGGGAUUGCUCCGCGAGAAGUUCGACGGAGCGAUGAAGUCCUUGAAGCCCGUCGCCGAUCGUGAGGCAGUCGUCGAGGGGAAGCGGCGCACGUUGAAGCAGCGAGAGCUGGACAUUGAAAAGCAGCGGGAGGCCCGGCUCAUCGUCGAACGCGAGGUCGCCGCGGCGGAGAAGCGCCUCAUGGAGCGCUCGGAGCAGCUGAGGAAGAGAGAGGAGGACUACAGUGCCCGCCUGCAGCAGCAUGACCAUCAGCAGAAGGCGGCGCAGGAACAGAUAGGCGAGGUGGAACAGCUGAGCAAGCAGGUCUCCUCGUGGCUAGCGAUUCUUGAAGAGCGCGAUCGUCGUCUGGCCAGGAAGGAGAAGCGUCUGCAGCGUGUGCAGGCAGACCUGCUGAAGCGCACCGAAGACAUCAUUGUGUGGAAGAGGGCGACGCAGCGCAUUAAGCAGAUCCCGCCACCACCGUCUCCGCCGCGUAUCAGCUGACCGCAAAAGUUCUCGAGCAGCUCGUUUAUUUUCUUUGGCGCCGUGCUAAUAACGCGGACACCUCCUUCUCCCCCCCCCCCCCCACGCACAGAUGCAGCCGUCCUUGCGCCUCUUGGAGUCUUCCCACCACUAGGACGUUGAUGCAGCUGCCGCUACGCCGCCUUUCCUCACUUCUCUUUCUUCCUCUCACUUGUCACGCUGCCGAUCCCAGCAGGUUGGGAAGUAACGAGCCGAUGUGUCGGCGGUGGCAAGAGAGGAGCUGCUAGCCGGGGGUGGGGGAGGGCCUAUGUGAGCAAGGGGGUGGGGUCUUAGUGCAGCUACCGCCAUGCGCUAUCCGGUUCACUAUCUGGAAGCAAAUGGUUUGUAUGCCACUCGUACCGUGUGCCUGUGUGUCCACGUUGGUGGUCCUUCCCGUCAUGCCCCUCCCCCCGAUCCCCUCACGCCCUCUCUUUCCUUGUAUGAGUGCUGUCGCUGCCGUGGCACCGUCAGCCCCCUCCCCUCUCUCCGCGCAGUCGUCUCUCCAUACUUUGUCCUCUUUAUUCCUUUAAAACGAA
rnacentral:misc_RNA from 1 species